UAUAAAACUGAUUUAUGGAGCAAGGUGAUAAUGCUUCCCUGUCCAGGAAGACAAAUUAAAUGUUGUGCUUUUAAAAAUAAACUGUUCUUGUUAAAUGUGAAUAAUAAAUGUGGUUACUUUUUUAACAAUGACACAUCGCAGUGGAUACAAAUAAAUAUAAAUGGAGAAGAAUCAAUUCCAUCUUUUUUUGAUAUAUUUACGAUAUUCUCCCAUAAAGACAGCUUAUACUUUAAAGGUUUAAAUUUAAUCGAAACGAAGCUAAAGGGUUUCUCAUUAAACGUGGUUAAUUCAAAAGUAAUUACGACACAAAGCUAUGACUCUAUGGAAUCAGUUUUGUGUAAUGAUAUUGUGUAUUCACUUUAUCGAAGAAAACCUGACGAUGGAUGUUGCCGAAUUUCGUUAGAAAAAUUACACUUGGAUACCUUUAAUAUUGAUUACAUCUUUAAGGAUGUAGAGGAGGAUUCGAUAAUAAAAUCGGACAAGGGAAAUUUUAGAAUGCUACCAUGUACGUUUUUAUUUUCCUUUCAACAUUGGAAAUUAGUUAAAGGAAAUAAUUUUAACAACAAUUUUGCUGCAGAGUUGUUCAACGAAUAGAAUUAUUGAUGUAAAUUUUUAUAAAAACAGAAAAUAUAUUUUUACAAGCAAA